rnacentral:rRNA from 1 species
GACGAACGCUGGCGGCGUGCUUAACACAUGCAAGUCGAACGAAGUGGCGAACGGGUGAGUAACGCGUAAUCAACCUGCCCUUCAGAGGGGGACAACAGUUUGAAACGACUGCUAAUACCGCAUACUGAAGGAGGGGAUUGCGUCUGAUUAGCUGGUUGGAGGGGUAACGGCCCACCAAGGCGAUGAUCAGUAGGCGGGCUGAGAGGAGGAACGGCCAAAUUGGGACGGGGAAACGGCCCAGAAUCCUACGGGAGGCAGCAGUGGGGAAUCUUCCGCAAUUGACGAAAGUCUGAAGGAGCAACGCCGCGUGAGUGAUGACGGCCGUCGGGGUGUAAAGCUCUGUUAAUCGGGACGCGGUACCGGAAUAGAAAGCCACGGCUAACUACGUGCCAGCCGCCGCGGUAAUUC